rnacentral:rRNA from 1 species
GACGAACGCUGGCGGCGUGCUUAACACAUGCAAGUCGAGCGGUAAGGCCCUUUCGGGGGUACACGAGCGGCGAACGGGUGAGUAACGCGUGGGAACCUUCCCAAUGGUACGGAAUAGCUCAGGGAAACUUGAGGUAAUACCGCAUAAGCCCGAAAGGGGAAAGAUUUAUCGCCAUUGGAUGGGCCCGCGUAGGAUUAGCUAGUUGGUGAGGUAAUGGCUCACCAAGGCGACGAUCCUUAGCUGGUUUGAGAGAAUGACCAGCCACACUGGGACUGAGACACGGCCCAGACUCCUACGGGAGGCAGCAGUGGGGAAUCUUGGACAAUGGGCGCAAGCCUGAUCCAGCCAUGCCGCGUGAGUGACGAAGGUCUUCGGAUUGUAAAGCUCUUUUGCCAGGGACGAUAAUGACGGUACCUGGAGAAUAA